rnacentral:rRNA from 1 species
UACGGAGGGAGCUAGCGUUAUUCGGAAUUACUGGGCGUAAAGCGCACGUAGGCGGCUUUGUAAGUAAGAGGUGAAAGCCCAGAGCUCAACUCUGGAAUUGCCUUUUAGACUGCAUCGCUUGAAUCAUGGAGAGGUCAGUGGAAUUCCGAGUGUAGAGGUGAAAUUCGUAGAUAUUCGGAAGAACACCAGUGGCGAAGGCGACUCGCUGGACAAGUAUUGACGCUGAGGUGCGAAAGCGUGGGGAGCAAACAGG